ACAGCAGUAGCCACGGUAAUACGAAGGGGGCUAGCGUUGCUCGGAAUUACUGGGCGUAAAGGGAGCGUAGGCGGAUGAAUUAGUCAGGGGUGAAAUCCCGGGGCUCAACCUCGGAACUGCCUUUGAUACUGUUCAUCUUGAGUAUGGGAGAGGUGUGUGGAACUCCGAGUGUAGAGGUGAAAUUCGUAGAUAUUCGGAAGAACACCAGUGGCGAAGGCGACACACUGGCCCAUUACUGACGCUGAGGCUCGAAAGCGUGGGGAGCAAACAGGAUUAGAUACCCCUGUAGUCCCUGUCUCUUAUAC
rnacentral:rRNA from 1 species